CCACAAUUCAAUGUAUAUAUACACCUCUAACAACAAAUUCAUAUAUACUUAUCGAGAGACAGAAAACGGUUACUUGAAGAAAUCAAAAUAUGGCUACAAGGAAACUUAUUCGCGAUUUCUUACUUUCACAUUCAUCUCUUAUUCUUCCUCUACAAGGUUUUAGACCGAGGUUGUUUUUUAAUUUGGUUGAUCGACGAGGAUACAGUGUCUUCAAUGAGUUCUCUAAGAAGGUUAAAGAUGAAACUCUUAGGAACCCAGAAUUCCAACAGUCUGUGAAGGAGCUGAAGGAAAAAGCAGAAGAACUGAAAGGGGUAAAAGAAGGUCUGAAAGAAAAAACAAAGCAGACAACUGAGCAGCUUUACAGACAAUUUGAUGGCAUGUGGAAAGAAGCUGAAGAUGCGGCAAAGAAGGUUUCUCACAAUGUUAGAGAGAAAAUUUCAGCUGCAACUGAGGAGGUGAAAGUUGGGAUAGGAAAGCAGGACUCUUCAGGAUCAACUGAUUCUUCAACAAAACUGGAUGCUGAUGCAAAGCAAGGAAGUCAGACAUCACCCGAGGAAGAGAAAAACCAGGAAUUUGCAUCUGGUAAUACUUCAGAGUCAAUGUUUGGCAAAUUUAAGUCAACCUUUUCAUCACCAAAUGUUUCUACUUCCUUCCAAAAAUUAAAGGAUGCAAAAAUUGUAGACAUAACCAAGAAAGGUUAUGGCAUACUAAGGGAGGAACUAAGUAGUGAUCCACCUAAGAGACGGCGUGUUCGUUCCACUCCUAGCGGCGAAAUAAGUACAAAAACCGAUCUUGUUGUUAUUCCCUCUAACCUAUCUUUUUGGAGUCAGAUGUGUGAUGAGAUCCGGGAUAAGGUGAAAAGACAUCCUGUAAAGAAAAAGUUUGAUGAGAUGGCAGAGGACUUGCUGGAAAUUUAUGACACAAGUGACAACAGAUUUAUUCACAAAUUACAGGACAUCAUUGAUACCAUGUCUCAAGAGACAGAUGCUGCACUUUCAAAGAAGGAAAUACGUCAGCGGGAUCCUUAUUUUUCCUUACCAGAAUUUGUGAAUGAAGUGCAGCAGGCAAUAAAACCAGUGCUUAAUGCUUACAUCAAGGGAGAUGUUGAAACACUGAAGAAGUACUGCUGCCCUCAGCUGAUUGAACGUUGUACAGCAGAGCAUAAUGCUUACAAAAAUAAUGGUAUUUUCUAUGAUAACAAGAUCCUGCAUGUGUCCGAUGUAGAAUUAAGAGAGCCCACGAUGUUGGAAUCAUCUCCUGUCAUUGUUGCUGCGUUUAAAACACAGCAAAUCUAUUGUGUACGUGAUAGGAAUGGGGAAAUUACAGAAGGAGGCAAGGUAAAUGCUGUGUUUUUCACUAUUGGCAAUUUUACAGUGUGAAAGUGUCGUCUUUUGUGUGUGAUCUCGCAUAAUCAAAAUCAGAAUUUGUAAUUCUAAAUUGUCAAAAUAUUUUAAAUGCCAUGCGACUUUGCAAAUUUGUCACGUUUUCCGUUAAUCUUGAUGUAAUUUGGGUCCAUUCAGUUAUGUGUUGGGGGUCAAUUUUCUGUGUUUGCUCAUGUCUCUCCUAUCUAUCCUAUCUAUAAUAGAAGGCAUGCAUCAAGUACAUUGAACCAUUAAUUAUCCUUCACCACGACUCACUGCUAUCUGCUCUCAUGUUUAUGGCUUUAGCUUUGAUUUUUGUCCACGGUUUUUGUUCAUCAUGCCGGCCGUGUCAAUCGGUUUGAAGAGCACUUGUUCUGUGGUGGCAAUAUAUAAAACUUUUAGUUCAUGAAGGAGAGUCUUGGCACAACAGUAACAUUGUUGCUUUGUGACUUGGAGGUCACGGGUCCAAAUCUUAGAAAAUAGUCUCUCCGCUUGCAGAGGUAGGACUGUGUAUAUCUACCCUCCUCAGAUCUCGCUUGUUGAGAGCCUGCUCCAACCCUCGUAAGACCCUGCUUAUUGAGAGCCCCGUGCACUGACCGGUUCUUUAUUCUUCAAUAUACAUGAUCAUGUGCAACAUGAUUUGGGGCUUAUGGAUACAAUUCACACUGUAUUCUAUCUAUGGGCUUUGGAACAAAUGGAGCACGAAGAUAAUGGCGAGGAUGCUAUUCAUCUAAUGUGGAGACUGAGAGAGAUGCAGCAGCAAGGCAUACCAACCCUCAUCUAGUUUUUCA